rnacentral:rRNA from 1 species
GACUACUGGGGGCAGCAGUGGGGAAUAUUGGACAAUGGGGGGAACCCUGAUCCAGCCAUGCCGCGUGUGUGAAGAAGGCCCUCGGGUUGUAAAGCACUUUCAGUGAGGAAGAACGCCUGGUGGUUAAUACCCAUCAGGAAAGACAUCACUCACAGAAGAAGCACCGGCUAACUCCGUGCCAGCAGCCGCGGUAAUACGGAGGGUGCGAGCGUUAAUCGGAAUUACUGGGCGUAAAGCGCGCGUAGGUGGCUUGAUAAGCCGGUUGUGAAAGCCCCGGGCUCAACCUGGGAACGGCAUCCGGAACUGUCAAGCUAGAGUGCAGGAGAGGAAGGUAGAAUUCCCGGUGUAGCGGUGAAAUGCGUAGAGAUCGGGAGGAAUACCAGUGGCGAAGGCGGCCUUCUGGACUGACACUGACACUGAGGUGCGAAAGCGUGGGUAGCAAACAGGAUUAGAUACCCUGGUAGUC